UACGUAGGGUGCGAGCGUUGUCCGGAAUUAUUGGGCGUAAAGAGCUCGUAGGCGGUGUGUCGCGUCGGCCGUGAAAACCUGCAGCUUAACUGUGGGCUUGCGGUCGAUACGGGCAUCACUGGAGUUCGGCAGGGGAGACUGGAAUUCCUGGUGUAGCGGUGGAAUGCGCAGAUAUCAGGAGGAACACCGAUGGCGAAGGCAGGUCUCUGGGCCGCAACUGACGCUGAGGAGCGAAAGCAUGGGGAGCGAACAGG
rnacentral:rRNA from 1 species